CAAAGCAGAUAAUCUCAGCCUCUCUUCAUCUGGAAAAGGUGCAGAGGAAGAGCACUAGCAGACAGUUUGUGGUUAAGGAUUACUGUGAAGUUCUCAGGGUACGAGACAACAGUCAGAUAUCAGCAUUGUCAGAGUCUUCCAUGAGGACCAGGGCCAGUAAACAAGACAUUUUUUCCAGUCGUCCAGAAGAGGCCUGAUAAUCUGCUGCUUCUUUUUUAUCACACAGUCCUCAGCAGAUACCCACACCAAUAUCACCCGCGGUGGUCUGCCAGCCAGCCCAGACCCAUACGCUCUCAUCUGGGUCAUGGCAGAGCUCCAUGCAUCCCUGCUUCUCUCUAAUACAGGACAACUGUCCCUGCUCGUCAUCCCAGCCUAUCCUUCCCAAAAAGCCUGUACAAAGCCACUGCAGCACUCUAGUCAUGUGAGUGUGAUUUGCCAUUACUUUGAGAUUUCUAAAAAUCCACGCUUCAUCCACUGAAGAAUUCGAAGGAACACUGAUGGAGGAAUGAUGGCAAUGGGAUCACCUGCGUGCAUCAGCUGCACAGAAACACCCAGGUGUGUACAGGGAGAUCAAACCAAGUCCUAUGCACGUUUGAUCUAAUGCAUGAGCAGGUUUUGCUCCCAAUCCUGAACCACUUUGAACAGUGACCAUACACUUUCUUUUUCACCUAAUCUCUAGAAGAAGAUCCCUGCUCAGCCAAGCUGGCCUUCUACCCCAGCUGCAUGACUUUGGAUAUUAUGGAAUUGCUUGGUAAGAGGUGGUACAAAAAAGUGACCAGCACUGCUGGAUCCUUAUGCCUUCAGAAGCAGUUUUCAUAGAAAACUUGCCAAAUAGUUCCCUGAGCAGCAUGAAGUCUGCUUUCCCCAUAUCCAGUGUUAAUGUGGCACUUUUUCUCCUCUCACCAAAGAUUGUAUGUUCACCAAUCUCAUGGUCACUAUGGCCAAAACAGCCUCCAGUCACCAUUUCACCCGUGAGACCUUCUCUGCUUACAAGCAACAAAUCUAGGAGGGCACCUUUCCUAGUUGACUCCCUUGGUAUCUGUAACGAGAAGUACUACCAAAGACAUAAAAAUAUUUGUAUCUCUGAAAGAUCUCAGUCUUAUCCAUGAAAUCUCCCUCUUUUUUAUACUGGUCUGAAGCACAGACUGAUACUGAACAUUUCAGGAACUCCUCCAACCUUUGUGAAACAGUUAAAUUUACUUUGUGCAGAAUAUAAAUGACAUCAAUUUUGAAAGGUCAAGGUAUGAAAUAUUAUGUUAUUGCAAUACAUUUACUGUACCCACUAACUCUCACCAUCUGUACAUCACAGACAUCACUGAACUACCACAUUUUCUCUGAAAAAAAAAAGAAGAAAGGUCUUCAGAAAGCAGUAUUCUCUCAGAAUCUUGCAAUCCUUAGAAGUUUGUUCUCUUUCCAAGGAACAGUUAUAAAAGAGGUUGAAUUUCUCAUCCAGGAUAUACGAGAUUCAAGGUUAAAUCUCAAGAAGGUUUGAUCAACCUCACCCCCUUACCAAGGGAAUUUAUUAUCACCAUGUCUCAAACAAGUCAGAGUGAACCUCAAUUAGCCGUCUUAACUGUCUUCACUUUGCAUAUCGUAAUUCAGGAGGAGUUCAAAGCCUGGAAAGAUCUGAACAGUCCUAAGUCCAUUCAGCUGUUUCAUACAGUAUGCAAAAAUGUGAAGAAGAAACUACAAAACCUGGACUCAACUCUCCCAGCACCGCCACCUCUGAAGAUGAAAGAAACGAGUUUGAAUGCAACAGUGUCCACAUCAUUAACUCCACAUCAUUAAGUUGCACUGGCUCUUCUUCUUACCUUCAUUAGGGAUUUGUGAGAAAGGGAGACUCCAGUUUCAGGAGAGAGAUACUGACAUUGGAGAACCUUAAUGAGUGAGAUUCGUGCUUACUUGGGAUUUCUUACCACCACUGUGUGUUGAUAGGUGGGUCCCAUGGACCCCACUCUUGCAUACCUCACUCUCCAUAUACAUAGCACAACUGCCUAACUGUUGAAGUCUCUGCGUUGAAAAAAUGGUCCCUGAAAAUUCUUCAGUUGAUGGUGGACUCCCAGAGCAUAGUGAUGCACUGGAACGGGCUGCCCAAGGAAGUUGUGGAUGCCUCAUCCCUGGAGGCAUUCAAGGCCAGGCUGGAUGUGGCU